CCUUUGCUUUGAGUUAAUUUUAUUCUCUGGAGGACUAGAGACGAGAUCAAUACACCGUGGGGGCUCAUGAGCAACGGUUUGGGGAAUGCAGACCACUCUUCCUUCCCAGUACAUUGAACCUGAGCUAGUUGUCCCUAAAGGAUUCCAUCUGUAAUUAUGAGUUAGGGGUAGGAUAAUCCAGAGGAGCAUGCCAAGUAUAAAAAAUAACUUUUUGCUUUAAAACAUUCCCAGGGAGGCAGCUAGGUGGCUCAGAGAGCCAGGACUGGGGUCAGGACGUCCUGGGAUCAAAUAUGGCUUCAGACACUUCCUAGCUCUGUGACUCUGGACAAGUCACUUAACUCCCAUUGCCUAGCCUUUACCACUUUUCUGCCUUGCAACCAAUACACAGUAUGGAUUCUAAGAUGGAAGGUAAGGGUUUAAAAAAACCAUAACAACAACGACAUUCCAAGACCUGAUAUAGUCUGCCCCUUUAUUUUCUAGGUGAUACUGAAGAUACAAAUGUUGGGGAGACACAAGAUCUGCCUUCAAGGAGUCUAUUAUUAUCUAGCAUUAAAGAAAUGGACAAGCAGCUAUGUCAUAAGCAGCUGAAUGGAGGAUGGAUCAAUGUGGGGAGACAUCUCAAACAGGCAGACCCACCUUCGGGCUCUUGCAAUAAUCCAGGUGUGAGAUGGUGAGGGUCUGCCCUCUGUCAGAGGAGAGAAGAUGUUACAAAGUUUCGUGCCUUGGAAGAUAUAGAAAAGCAAAGGAAGAUAGAGAGAAUCAAGAAAAAAAAAGUGAGGAAAGGUGAUGAGACAUCAGAAAUCUUCACUGCAGCCCAGUUUGGAGGAGAGGUCUGUACCUAAAGUUAUAAGUUUGCUUUAUGGUUCUACAAAACCAUAGCUUGGCAUUCACUUCAUUUUUAU
rnacentral:lncRNA from 1 species